GGAGGUAGCUGGGUAACUGGUGUACCCCCUGGUCUUCAAAACCAGUGUUGGGCGUUAGGAGCGUCCUGGGUGGGUUCGAUUCCCACAUACCUCC
rnacentral:tRNA from 1 species